UACAGAGGGGGCAAGCGUUGUUCGGAAUUACUGGGCGUAAAGGGCGCGUAGGCGGCCGCCUAAGUCAGACGUGAAAUCCCUCGGCUCAACCGGGGAACUGCGUCUGAUACUGGGUGGCUUGAAUCCGGGAGAGGGAUGCGGAAUUCCAGGUGUAGCGGUGAAAUGCGUAGAGAUGUGGAGGAACACCGAUGGCGAAGGCAGCCCCCUGGGUCAACACUGACGCUCAGGCACGAAAGCGUGGGGAGCAAACAGG
rnacentral:rRNA from 1 species